rnacentral:rRNA from 1 species
UACGUAGGGUGCAAGCGUUGUCCGGAAUUAUUGGGCGUAAAGAGCUCGUAGGCGGUUUGUUGCGUCGGCUGUGAAAUCCCGAGGCUCAACCUCGGGUCUGCAGUCGAUACGAGCAAACUAGAGUGUUGCAGGGGAGACUGGAGUUCCUGGUGUAGCGGUGAAAUGCGCAGAUAUCAGGAGGAACACCGGUGGCGAAGGCGGGUCUCUGGGCAACAACUGACGCUGGAGGAGCGAAAGCGUGGGGAGCGAACAGG